rnacentral:tRNA from 1 species
GGGGUUGUGGCUGCAGAGGUAGAGCACUCGCUUAGCAUGAGUGAGGCACUGGGUUCGAUCCUCAGCACCACA